CAGAGAAGCGGCCGGUGCAGGCGACGCCCUGGAACCCGCGGGCGGUGACUGCGGCCACAGGUGCCGCGCAGAGCACCGUGUCCCAGCUCUGGGCAUCAGAACUCCGGCGCUGGGAACUAAGGCUUCCGAGCUGCUCCCAACCCUGGACCCCAAGGCCCCGAGCCGGAGAGCGGAGCCCUGGGGUCGUCUGAAGCUCGGGGCCUCGAGCCCCCCGGGUCUGACAGCGAAGUCCCAGGGCCUGCCGCAGAGCGAGACGCCGAGGUCCCCAGGCCGGGCGGCGAAAUCUCUGCGCCCUCCGCAGAGCAGGGCGCGGAAACCCCUGAGCGAGAGAGCGAAGUCCUCGGGCCAUCAGCGGGGCAGGACGCGGCGCGCCCCGGGCCGGCCGCCGCUGGAGGCGUGGAGAGGCCUGGGCCAGGCAGCCGCGACCCCCGGCCGUCUGAAGCCCGAAGCGCCGCGAUCCUGGAGCGGUGUCCCCUUCAGGGUCCCGAGACCUCCUCCUCAGAGUCAGACUCGGAAGCCCAUCAGCAUUUUCCAUUGCGCCCCGAGAUCCCCCAACAGUCCUCAGAGGAGCCGCUCAUGGAGCCGCUCAUGGAGACGCCCAUCGAGCGCGAAAUCCGCCGCAGCUGCGAACGCGAGGAGAGCCUGCGCCGGAGCCGAGGCCUGAGCCCCGGCCGUGCGCGCCGCGAACUCGUGGAGCUGCGCGUGCGGCCGGUGCUCAGCCUGCCGGGCCCCGGCCCCGCGCUCCCGCGCGCCGUGGAGCGCGCGCGGGCGGGCGCGCAGAUGCAGCGGGACAUCGAGCGGGAGGCUCACCGGCAGGCGGCGCUGGCGCUCCCCCCGGGCCCGGAGCCGCGCGCCCGGCAGCCGCCGCCGCCGCCGCUGGGCGAGCUCAAGCGCUUCUUCGAGGCCGCCGGCGGCGGCGGCUCCUCGCCAGCGGCGGAGGGCGGCGCGGGCCUGCAGCAGCUGCCGGAGGCCGGAAGCCGGCCGCACUCGGCGGCGCAGGGCCGGUGCCCGGUGCUGGCCCGCGCGCCCUCGCCCCUCGCGCCGUCCCUGCUGGAGCAGGAGGUGCGCGAGGUGCAGGAGCGCGAGCGAGAGCUGCAGCGCCAGCGGCUCAGCGUCUACGGCACCGCCGAGUUCCGGGACCCGGCGCCCAGCCUCACAGGUAAGUCACGGGCGGCCCGGCGCCCGGGACCCCGGGGCUCCAGCCGCCCUCACCGACUACCCGACUCCAGUGGCCCCUUUUCCGGCGCUCUGAUUCUCAGGGUACGCCCUCUUGGCUCCCACCCCUUCUCGACUCUCCGUUCCUGCCCAUCCCUUCUGGGCUGCCCGUCCCUGUGCUCCACCCCCGACUCGGAGUGGUCGACUCUCCGAUCCACCCCCACCCAGGCUCAUGGUGGGGAGGGAGGAGGACUCCGGACGUCUUUGUCGGAUUCUAGGGCACCCUCCCCGGGUUUGGCGCACCUGGAUCCCCUCUCUGAACUUUCUGGUUCCUACCUCCCCUCUCUGGGCUCACCUCCCUCCCCCCUCGGAAUGUAGGCCUCCAUGAGGAGGAGGGGGGUGGACGUCUGUGUGUGUUUAAGGGGCGCGGCCGGCCUCCUUGUCCCGGCCUCCUCCAGCUGGUGAGAGGAGGGGCAGCUGGCUGAGCGCGCCUUCCCCGCAGCGAGCAGGGGUGAUGGAAAGCUGGCGGUGAUCUGGCCUCCGCGCAGAAAGGCCUCGGAGAACGGCCUGGAGCAGGAGGAGCGGAAGCCUUGAGGUUCGAGCCGGCUCGGACCCCCGGCCGGACGGAGCAUGGCCGUUAGAGGGCCCGGGCAGGGGCGCCCGGGAGUGCCCUCGGGAUGGGCCGAAGGCCUGGAGGGAGGGGCCAGCGGUCUGCGCCGGCGAAGAUGACACGGACCAGCCCAUCCUUGAACUAGACUUUGUGAAACUGACCAGUCUCUUCUCUAAAACUGUCAGUCCCCCUGGGACACACCACCGCCACAAUCCGGCCGGAGAGACUGUCCAGCCCUUCACCUGACCGUAAGGCAAACCAGCCCCUCCCGCCGGCUCUGACCGUCGGAGGCCGGGGUCACGGCCUCGCUACCCCUACUCCCCAAUAAAGCCCCUUGUUUCUGGGCA